AGUGAACGCUGGCGGUAGGCCUAACACAUGCAAGUCGAACGGCAGCACAGUAAGAGCUUGCUCUUACGGGUGGCGAGUGGCGGACGGGUGAGGAAUACAUCGGAAUCUACUUUUUCGUGGGGGAUAACGUAGGGAAACUUACGCUAAUACCGCAUACGACCUACGGGUGAAAGCAGGGGAUCUUCGGACCUUGCGCGAUUGAAUGAGCCGAUGUCGGAUUAGCUAGUUGGCGGGGUAAUGGCCCACCAGGGCGACGAUCCGUAGCUGGUCUGAGAGGAUGAUCAGCCACACGGGAACGGAGACACGGUCCAGACUCCUACGGGAGGCAGCAGUGGGGAAUAGUGGACAAUGGGCGCAAGCCUGAUCCAGCCAUACCGCGUGGGUGAAGAAGGCCCUCGGGUUGUAAAGCCCUUUUGUUGGGAAAGAAAAGCAGCAGGUUAAUACCCCGCUGUUCUGACGGUACCCAAAGAAUAAGCACCGGCUAACUUCGUG
rnacentral:rRNA from 1 species